rnacentral:tRNA from 1 species
GUUAGCUCAGUGGAUAGAGCACCAGAUUCCAACUCUGGCUGUGACGGGUUCGAAUCCCGUACCAACU